rnacentral:rRNA from 1 species
CACGGAGUUAGCCGGAGCUUAUUCUCCAGGUACUGUCAUUAUCAUCCCUGGUAAAGAGCUUUACAACCCUAAGGCCUUCAUCACUCACGCGGCAUUGCUGGAUCAGGCUUUCGCCCAUUGUCCAAUAUUCCCCACUGCUGCCUCCCGUAGGAGUCUGGGCCGUGUCUCAGUCCCAGUGUGGCUGAUCAUCCUCUCAGACCAGCUAAAGAUCGUCGCCUUGGUAGGCCUUUACCCCACCAACUAGCUAAUCUUACGCGGGCUCAUCCUUGGGCGAUAAAUCUUUGGUCCGAAGACAUUAUACGGUAUUAGCACAAAUUUCUCUGAGUUAUUCCGUACCCAAGGGCAGAUUCCCACGCGUUACGCACCCGUGCGCCACUAAGUCCGAAGACUUCGUUCGACUUGCAUGUGUUAGGCAUGCCGCCAGCGUUCGUUCUGAGCCAGGAUCAAACUCU